GCCAGAAUAGCUCAGAGGUAGAGCAACGCUCUCGUAAAGCGUGGGUCGUGGGUUCGAAUCCCACUUCUGGCUCUA
rnacentral:tRNA from 2 species